rnacentral:miRNA from 1 species
GGUCAGCUGACACAUCCCUGCCAAUCUCCGGCAGACCCUCCCUCCCAGGCCCUCCCACCUCCUGGACAGCAUCCAUGUUGAAGCUGCCUUCAACAUGGAUGCUGUCUAGGAAGUAGGAGGGUCUGGGAGGGAGGGUCUGCUGGAGAUUGGCAGGGAUGUGUCAGCUG